CUUGAGUUGAGAAAUCACGUGCAGUCAAGUAACAAGGGAGGGAUUUCUCAACUGAUGCUCCCAAGGCAGAGAUGAAAGAGAAAACCACGGAUCGUGAGCAGAAGGGGUGGGGACCCGGCCCGAGGGGCCCGUGCAGAGCUCUCAGAGGGUUAUCGUGUGUGGCCGCAGCUCCAGCCACACGGGGCUUCCCAAGCAGCCUCUGCAAGGGCCACUCGCAGACCCGCCCUGGCUGCAGCCCUCACGCCCUGGGAUCCCGGUCCCUCUGGGGGCCCAGCAAGGCAUCAGAAUCAAAGGCAUCACAGCACAUCAGCUGUCCCUCUUGAGGUGAUCAGUCCACCGGUUCGAUAGCAACAACAGCCUGCUUCGUCCCAGAGUGGGCAUGCAGUUUCGAGCUAACUGGUCGUGGCUAGAAUAGCACUAAGAUGCAGAUUUGAGGGCACCCAGCUAGACUCUGGAAUUGGGUUUGGAUUUGACAGUAACCAACAUAUGAAAUCUGGGGCACUGACCCUUCAUUUCCUCAUUUAUAAACUGGGGAUGAUACUAGUACAACCUAAGGCACAGCCGUCUUGUGAAAAUUGAAUAAAACAUGGAGCACGAUGCCUGGGACGCACUUGGUGAAUGUUAGCUGCUGUCAUUUUUAUUCUUUUUCAUGAGAGGGAUUAUUUACUGGAUUGGGAGUGAACACCGAAAGUGGCAAUCCGAUUGGAAAAAAAUUGGACACAUUUUACCCCAGAAUAACUUGUGCAUAGUCAUGAAACAAAAUACAGUCAGAUUCGUUGGUGGGGUCUUGCGUUCCCAUCCCUGCCUGCUGGGGGUCUGGCCAAGGUCCUGGCUGGGAUCCGAGGAGUCUUCUUUCGUAUCAUGUCCUUGCCUCUUUUUCUCAGCCUCUCUGUGAGUGAGACCAGAGGGCGUCACAACAGCCCACGCCGGCCUGACACCGUCCCGACUCCAGGACCGACUCUGCGCUCUGGAACAUGCUUCUCCUCUUCUGUGGCUGAGGAAAGAUCAUGUAGGCCCUAUCUGAGUGCAUUUUUGUGGUUCUUAUCCUCAGAAACUCUCUCUUUUGAUGCUCUCACCUUUCUUUUGACUGCCCGGCAAAAGUUCUGCCUAAAUGAAGGCUGUGACCCAUUUGUCCACAAUGAGAUAAAUAUUUAUCCUGUCUGUAAAUAUUUCCUUUUUCUUUUCUUUCCCUUUUCCUUUUGCUUCUGCUCUUGGGUUCUGUUCAUUGAAAGAUUCGUAUUUCAUUUUUAAAAGUCAAAUCUAUGACCCUGUAGUUUUUUCCAUGGAUUCAUACGUAGAAAACAUCCUUCUGAGAUGAGUUAUAUUUCUACUUACACAUUCGUCGACAUCUUUAUAUUUUUCUUUUCUAUAUUUAACGCUUUAACCCAGCCAGAAUUUUUUUGUAUAUAUUUUCUCUCAAGUGAGAAUCUAGGCUGUGUUUGUUUGUUGCUUGGCUAUGUUUUUGCAAAUAUUAGCUGAUGUCCUAGCAUUAUCUAUUAAAUGAAAAUGUCAUUUCUCGCAUGAGUUUAACACGCCUAUUUUAUCACAUAAUAAAUGUUUUAUCUAAGGGCAGGUCUCCCUGAAAACACCCCCCAGAAAUGCCUGCCAACAUUCAGAGAUGAGGUGGCAAAAGGUGAGACCUUCCAAGACAGAAGACAAAGAGGCAGCCAUGCCUGAGCAAAUGAUUUCCCAUGGUUGCUUCCCUCCCUGGCUACACGGGCCCCUUGGCUAAGAGGUACGGAGCUCAGGAACCUUUUUGCUGGCUGGUUGGCUUCCCUGAGUAAACAUUAAGCCCCACUGCAGCUCGCUGAACAGGUUCCUGCAUAUCGAAGUGUUUAGCAGGUGCACAAUCCGGGCCAGAGCGAACAUACUCAGCACGGCGGGUCCAGCUGCUAGACAAGCUGAUUCUCAAGGUCACAGGAAGAAUCUUGACAGCAUCCUUCUGCGCCCUAGACCACACAGGGCUAAGAGCUGAUGCGCUGCUCUCACCUGCCCGGGUGGAUUCCAGAAUCCCCUCAUGCGUCCGCAGCAACAGGAGGGGAGAAACCAGGGGACUCUGCCCAAGAGCUCGAUGAGACGAGUACAUCCGAUGACAGACGCUUACAUGGUGGCUCCCGGGAAGGUCAUUGCCACUGCACGUCUAGCAAAAGCUAGAGCGUAGUUCCCUGUGCUGUGCAGUAGGUCCGUGUUGAUUAUCUCUUUUCCAUGUCGUCACGUGUAUAUACGUGAAUCUCAAACUCCUAAUUUACACCCCCUCGUCCCCUCUUUGGUAACCAUAUGUUUGUUUUCUAAGCCGAUGAGUUUCUGUUUCGUAAAAAAAAAAAAAAAGUUCGUCUGUAUUAUUGUUUUAGAUUCCACAUAUAAGUGAUAUCAUAUGAUUUCUGUCUCUCUCUGUCUGACUUACUUCCCCUAGUAUGAUAAUUUCAUUAUUCUGUAAUUACCUAUGUGGGAAAAGAAUCUAAAAAAGAAUGGACAUGUGUGUAUGUA